rnacentral:lncRNA from 1 species
AGAGAAAAUAUGUGACCUUAGAAUAAUACUUUUAUAUGAAUAAUAAUUGUUAAUGUGUGAGUAUAUAUAUAUAUAUAUAUAUAAAGAGAGAGAGGCUGGUAUAUUAUUGGUAGCACGGAGGUCUUCGUACUAUUAAGUUGUUUUCAAUGAUGCGGCUUUUAAAUCACUGAUCGGUUUCGUUAAACUUGAUUUACACUAUUAAGAGUAUUUAGAAACUAAAUUUUUUACUUUUUUGGCAUUAUUUGGCUACUGAUCAAAAGGUAUUGACAAUUUUAAUGAUAGAUGUGAUGCGUUUAUAAAUUUAACGGUGUAAAAUAGUUCAAAUAUAAUGAAAUUUUUAGAGAAAAAUCUUUUCACUAUUUAGAGUAAGAUCAGUAUCUUUGAUCUUAAAUUCAAGUCUUUUAUCAUCAUUUUUUAUGAGGUUUUUAUUUUCAGCUGUUCAUUUUUAGAUUAUUUGUUUGAUAGGUAAAUGAUGCCAAAAAAUUAUGAAAUUUAGUUUUCAAAUACUUUCAAUAGUGCAGAGCAAGUCUAACGGAGUCGAUCGUCAAUUUGAAAGCUACAUCAUUGAAAAUAGCUUGAUAGGACGGAGAUCUCUAUGCUACCGAUAGCAUACCAGCCUAACUCUCUCUCUCUCUCUCUCUAUAUAUAUAUAUAGGCUAAUAUACUAUUAAUAGCACCAAGUUAUUGGUGCUACUAAGUUUUUGGCCGUUGGAUUAAAAGAUGUGCGAUUAGGAUGAUGUGGGCCCUCAAGGGUUGAGUGGGUGGUUGGUUGAAUAGUAUAAUCUAACGGGUUAAAAUGAUCAAAAAGGUAGAUCUAACGGCGAAAAAGUUUGUAGCACCAAGUGCUUCAUGCUACUAAUAGCAUAGUAGCCAGAUUCUAUAUAAAUAUAUAUCUAAGCAUUG